rnacentral:lncRNA from 1 species
CUGAAUAGCUGAGCCAUUUUACAGGCCAUAAAAGGGUAAACUAACGUAACAGUAGGCCAAUUGAAGGGAGAAACAAAGAUUAAACCAGAUUUGCUAAAAGAAACAAAAUGAAUGAACUAGUCUGAUGAGUAUUCAACCAUAACCAUAGGCAGCAUUUUCAGAAAAAAUCCAGCAAACUCACGAAUCAACUAACAUAAGUCAUAUUCCUCGAUUUAUGCAUAUUAUCCUAAGCAUGAAACAACUCUUAAACCAGACAAAUUUAAACAACACCCCAACAAGAGGUGUUCUUCCUGCAAAUACAUCCAACACGACAGACUAACACCCCAAAUCCAACCUUAACAUAAAAUGUAAUAUGAAGGAAAUACACAUAGUAAGGCUAAGUUAAUAGAAGCAUAAACAAAUUCUAAAGGGCUCAAACAACUAUUCAGCAAAAAAACUAGCAUUUGUCAUUAAAUCUUCAACUUAAUUACAUGGUUUCACAUUUGCACCCCAUAUGUUACUCAAGAACCAAGGCAUACCUGGAAAUCAAAAAACAAAAACAAAUGAGUGAGAACUUCAAGCAGUAACAACGGCUAAACACAUCAACAACAGCAGUACUCAACUCUUCUAGACCAUUUUCGGACCAAGAUGAACCAGAAAGUCUUUUGAAAGCUUUAAGCUAUUCCUAACAAUGAACCUAGGGAGCAAUUUUCAGCAAUUUAAGUUGAAAUGAUGCAGAAAAACUACUGUAUUUUUCAGAGUAUCCCCAGGCUGCUCAAAAGAGUGAGAGGAUGGCCUUAUUUAUACAACAGAAAUCUGUUGUGUGCCCUCUAAGGCAAGGCAAUGGGAUUUCCCCAAAAUACCCUUCACAAGGCAUCUUUUCUUAACAGAAAAUGGACAGCUGUCCCUUUCUCAUUGGUUUCAGCACCUCAGCUAACCAAAUGGGGCCAGCUACCCUUGUUCUAGACUAAUAUGAUAUUUUCGUAAAUAGAUAAACCCUAAAUUACCCUUAUACAACAUGCUUAUUACAGUCCCUACCUAAAUCCUUUAUGACCCCCCUUAAGUUUCCUUAAUUACAAUUAGCCCCCUACAGAUCUUUAAGGACUGACAAAUAUGGAAAACAUGACCAAUCAAAACAAAUAAUCACCAAUGGAUCAAAAAUAGACCCACAGAGCCCAAAACUUUGAACAUCUUAAAGCUUGGAAACAAACUUAAGAUGAACCAAGUUCAUAAUGAAACCUAGAUAAACAUGAACUUUAGACCAGAAAUAUUUAAGAUAAUUAAACCACGCAAGCAUACUAAGCUAUGAUUCAGAAAAGCAAAACGAUGAUUGAAACUUGCAGUAAUCAACGAACUAAACUAAUUAAACGAGCCAAACCAAAUUAAUAAAUCUAAAUAAAACCUAAAACACUACUGGUUAAGAAAUAAGAGAUACUAUUAAUCCAUGGUUUAUAAUUAUUCAAAUUUCUUUAUUUUCUGGUCAAAAGAAAGAAAAUUAAAAGAAAACAGAUUAAGGAAAAGGGAAGAAAAGAAAGGAAAAUGGGAAGAGAAAUCACAGAAAAAGAUGGAGAAAACAAGCGAGAUACCUAGGCUAGGCGGACGGCGGUUGGCUCAGACGAACAUCCAGGUUGCUCUGAUUUAAGCCAAAGCUGAUAUUAAUCGAAUGUUCUUGUUGAGAACAAAUGAUCAACAUCAGUUUCAAACUAAAUCAUCUUUGGAAAGUUGAAGGCUUGGGACUUGAAUCUUUGCAUGUCGCAGAUCUAGAAUUGGGUGAAUUUGGUCGGGUUUUUGGGGAAACUACUGAGGGGUUUGGGUUCAUGAGUGUGUGAGGGUUGUAGAGUGCGAUUUUGGGUGGAUUUUGAGAUUUAGGGUUUUUAGAUCUUGGAUUCAGAUCCGAAAUCGCAGGGAUUUGAGGAAAAUGGAGUGGAGAUUUGGAAGGGGAUGGGGGGUGAAGGGGAGUUCAUGGUAUUAAUUUGAUAACGAUUGGAGUGGUUUAUGGCGUCGCUGCCGGCCGGUGGAGAGUUGGUAUGUAAGGGCGGCGGAUCUCUAGGGUUUGAGAGACAGGGGGUGAGGAGAAGACUGAGGGGGUUGACAGGGG